rnacentral:rRNA from 1 species
AGCAGCCGCGGUAAUUCCAGCUCCAAUAGCGUAUAUUAAAGUUGCUGCAGUUAAAAAGCUCGUAGUUGAAUUUCGGGACCAUCAUGUCGGUCGUGCCUCGGUACGUACUGGUAUUGUUGGUUUCUCCCUUCUGACGAACCAUGAUGUCAUUUAUUUGGUGUUGUGGGGAAUCAGGACUGUUACUUUGAAAAAAUUAGAGUGUUUAAAGCAGGCUCACGCUUGAAUACAUUAGCAUGGAAUAAUGAAAUAGGACGUUUGAUUCUAUUUUGUUGGUUUCUAGGAUCGACGUAAUGAUUAAUAGGGAUAGUUGGGGGCAUUAGUAUUCAAUUGUCAGAGGUGAAAUUCUUGGAUUUAUUGAAGACUAACUACUGCGAAAGCAUUUGCCAAGGAUGUUUUCAUUAACCAAGAACGAAAGUUAGGGGAUCGAAGACGAUCAGAUACCGUCGUAGUCUUAACCAUAAACUAUGCCGACUAGGGAUCGGAUGAUGUUAAUUUUUAAUGACUCAUUCGGCGCCUUAC